rnacentral:lncRNA from 11 species
CGCCUUCGCCCAGAGGACGCAGCGAUUGGUGGGGCCCCCUCUGUCGUCACAAUGGGCCCUUCCCUGAUUGGCCGCCUCGCGCAGCGGUGCAGCUGGGCCUGCCUCCGAUUUGGGGGAAGCGACUGACUUCCAAGCCCCCGCUGGGAAGCUUGUGUCAUGUGAGGGGGGCGCCCGGGAGGGAUCUUCUGGGAUCUGGGAUCACCACAGCAGCAGCAGCCGCCGCCGAAGAAGAAGAGGCCAGGGAGAUCGCUGUCUAUCACCAAGGCCUAAACCUAAUUAGUCUUCACUAGAAGAUACUAGAAGGACCAGGCUGCCUUCUGCCAUUCCAUGCAUUACUGUCUUUUCUGAUGAAUUUUCUAGCCAUGGGAGUUGCAGUCCAACAUCUGACGGGUUGCACUUUGCACAUCUCUGAUUUUAAGGCAAAGUAGCUAUAUACUACUGCCCCAGUGGCGCAGUGUGUUAAAGCACUGAGCUGCUGAACUUGUGGACUGAAAUCAAAAUAACUGAUUGAAGCAUAUUGCCAUGGCCAAAGACAUAACAAGGAAUGAUCCAUGUUGAACUUUUCCACCAGACAAAUCAGGUUCAAAUCCGGGGAGCGUAGUGAGCGCCCGCUGUUAGCCCCA